rnacentral:rRNA from 1 species
CCUACGGGUGGCAGCAGUGAGGAAUAUUGGUCAAUGGGCGCAAGCCUGAACCAGCCAAGUCGCGUGAGGGAUGACGGUCCUAUGGAUUGUAAACCUCUUUUGUCGGGGAGCAAGUCCCUCCACGUGUGGCGGGAAGCACAGUACCCUAAGAAAAAGCCUCGGCUAACUCCGUGCCAGCGGCCGCGGUAAUACGGAGGAUUCGAGCGGUAUCCGGAUUUAUUGGGUUUACAGGGUGCGUGGGCGGAAGGUUAAGUCAGCGGUAAAACGUCGGUGCUCAACACCGGCCUGCCGUUGAAACUGGUCUUCUUGAGUGAGCGAGAAGUAUGCGGAAUGCGUGGUGGAGCGGUGAAAUGCAUAGAUAUGACGCAGAACUCCGAUGGCGAAGGCAGCAGACCGGAGCUCAACUGACGCUGAGGCACGAAAGCGUGGGGAUCGAACAGGAUUAGAUACCCGAGUAGUC